GUGCGAGUACUUUGUACGAGCGAGCCGGAAUUGGUUUAAGCCCAUUAUAUGUGUACGUGUACGUGCACCAAGAGACGUUAAAGAGCCCCCCGUUCAUAGGUUCUAUGAAGCUUUCGAACCUGAUCUACUUUUCUACCUGAAAAUACUUUCGGUAACAAGGACGUACAAGUGGCAAAGAUUAAAAGAGAUUAAAAAUCGAGGAACAGGGGCUGCUGUGGAACGAAUGAAAUUGAGCUAUGACAAUACAAAUGCUUAGCAUAAUGUACCAUUAUUGCGACUUUGAUAUCUAAAUUAUUAGCGUAAAUGUAUGCCAUAACAGCUAAAGUGAUACGAUCGUCACUGAAUAAAGCAUCAUGAGAUACGAUGUUAAUAUUUGUCGCGUUGGCCAUGAGUUGCAAUAGCCGAAUAUUAAAUUGAUAGGCUAAUUUGCAACGAAUCUAGGUAGAUGCAUAUUAUAAUAUGAUAUAUGUCAUUUGCUAUUGUGUAUUAUCUCAUGCCCAUAAUAUCAUUUCACGAAGAUAUUCAGAAAGAAUAAAAGAUAUAAAAUGCGUCUUCCUCAUAUUUAGAAUUUUAAUGCCUAAAAGUCAUAAGUAGGUGGGACGAGGAGUUGGUUGAUUUGAAUAGGAAAAUUCGAUGCAUUUGGAAAUCUAAUCACGUGGUACCACGGUGAGCUGCACCCUCGCAAUGUUCAAUCUACGUUGUUCAUUACUGGAGGGAUUACAAAUCCAAAGUGCGUGUACAUGAGACUAGACGAGGCACGUGUACCGGCAAGUAGGUGCGCGUUCCCAAAGUCAAGAGUGGUGGAAGCCAAUGUCGCAUUAUCGUAUGGAAGACAGUGCAUAAAGUGAAGCAAGAGCGUUCGUCAACGGUGCAAUAUACAUGGUCGAACGAACAGUGUACACGAUCAAUGAAACCUAUGGUUACGCGUGGGAUCACGUAUGUUGUCCCGUCGUGCUACAACCAGAAAGCAAAGGGGGAAAGGGUGACGACGUUUACUGGUCGCAUCGAAUUACAAGUCCCUUAGGUAAUGAUGAAACAAUAUCUUUUCUCUGCGCGAAUGCGUUUACUGACAUUUUGAAGCUGACAUGGAUCGCCGGAUAGAGACAGAUCACCGGAUGCGGAUAAUCGUGUUCUGCGUUGAUAUGGAAGUUAAUGGACAAGCCCGGGAAAACAAAAC